AUUGAACGCUGGCGGCAGGCUUAACACAUGCAAGUCGAGCGCGCGGCGCGCGGGUGAGUGAUGUAUGGGGACUGCCCCAUAGAGGGGGGUAUCUCCUGGGAACGGUAGCUCAUACCGCAUAUUAUCGCAUUACCCCUAUGGGAGUAGAUAGUAGGUGGGGUAAUGGCGCACCUAGGCGACGAUCCCUAGCUGGUCUGAGAGGAUGAUCAGCCACACUGGAACUGAGACACGGCCCAGACUCCUACGGAGGCAGCAGUGGGGAAUAUUGCACAAUGGGCGCAAGCCUGAUGCAGCCAUGCCGCGUGUAUGAAGAAGGCCUUAGGGUUGUAAAGUACUUUCAGUCGGGAGGCGUUACCGACAGAAGAAGCACCGGCUAACUCCGUGCCAGCAGCCGCGGUAAUUC
rnacentral:rRNA from 1 species